rnacentral:rRNA from 1 species
GAUGAACGCUGGCGGCGUGCUUAACACAUGCAAGUCGAACGGAAAGGCCUCUGCUUGCAGGGGUACUCGAGUGGCGAACGGGUGAGUAACACGUGGGUGAUCUGCCCUGCACUUCGGGAUAAGCCUGGGAAACUGGGUCUAAUACCGGAUAGGACAAUGGUUUGGAUGCUGUUGUGGAAAGUUUUUCGGUGUGGGAUGAGCUCGCGGCCUAUCAGCUUGUUGGUGGGGUAAUGGCCUACCAAGGCGUCGACGGGUAGCCGGCCCGAGAGGGUGUACGGCCAGUUCGGGACGGUGAUGCGGCCCAGAGUCCGGCGGGGGGCAGCAGGGGGGAAUAUCGCACAUUGCGCGCAAGCCUGAUGCAGCGAGGCCGCGUGGGGGAUGACGGCCUUCGGGUUGUAAACUCAUUUCGCUAGGGACGAAGCGUUUUUGUGACGGUACCUGGAGAAGAAGCACCGGCUAACUACGUG